CGAAGAUUGUGCAUCGAAGCGAGCGAGUGGGCAAUGCUGAAGGUUCUGGCUCCUUCACUUCAUCUGAAAUUGGUAAGAUGUUGCAUUAUAGGUAAAGGAAUUUGGAUUGAAAUAGAGAGCUGAAGAAUUUCUAAACUAAAAAACGAAGAAAAUUUUAGUACGAAAUGAAGGAGGAGGACGGCAAACGUGGAACGGAGGUUUCAGGUUCUCGUCGGACGCGGUCUCGUAUAGCGCCGGAUUGGACAGCGGCGGAUUGCCUCGUUCUUGUUAAUGUGAUUGCAGCUGUGGAGGCCGAUUGUUGGAAAGCUUUGUCUAGCUUUCAGAAAUGGAAAAUUGUUGCAGAGAACUGCACGUCUUUGGAUGUGGCUCGGAACUCGAAUCAGUGCAGGAGGAAGUGGGACUGUUUGCUGAUUGAACAUGAUGUUAUCAAGCAAUGGGAGUUAGAGAUGCCGGAUGAUGAUUCGUAUUGGUGUUUGGAAAGUGGAAGGAGAAAGGAAUUGGGACUUCCUGAUAACUUUGACGAGGAGGUGUUCAAAGCAAUUGAUAAUGUUGUAUCGAUGAGGGCGAAUCAGUCGGAUACGGAGCCUGAUAGCGAUCCUGAGGCUGCGGUUGAGAAGGUAGAUGAAGCUGCAGAGCCUGGCCCUAAAAGGCAAAGACGUUGUUCAAUGUCUACAAGAAAUCAAUCUCUUGAGAAAUCUGUAAAAUGUGAAGAAGAAGACGAAGAACCUCAGGUGAGCUCUCCGGAAGUAGAGCGUCGUGGAUGCUACAUCAAAAGCCAUGGAGAAAAGGCGACCGAUAGCACCGAACCCGAAGAGCAAACGAUGGCGAAGAAAUUGCUUGAAACUGCAGAAAAAGUUCAAGCAAUUGUGUCUGAGAAUGCAGAAUAUGCAACGUCCGACGAAAAAAACGACAACUACAACGUCCGAACUAAUUCCAUUAGGCAUCAAGGGAGCAAGCUUAUCAAAUGUCUUGAAGAUUUUCUCAACACCAUUAAUGAUCUCCAUAGCCUGCUCGAAGAUCAAGAGUAACUCUCAUUUUCCAUUUCGCUGUUCGUUAAGUCACCAAGUGAACUCAUCGGAGUUUUGAAUCUUCCCAUCUCUCGUCCUACAGACAAAAUUCCAAGCUGACCAUUCGAGCAACAACAGCAAAAGGUUGCCGACAUUUUCCAGACCACCUCUCGGACAUUGCUUCACAACAGGAAAGAAGUAAGCUACGUCUGAGUUAAAUUUGGAGAUGAAUGUCUUCUUUCGUUUCUCUGACGGUGAAGUAAGACUAAGCUUAUAAGUUUAUUAUCCUAGGUCGGAACAAGUUAUAGGAUAGGAUUCUCUUUUUUACGUUUUCAUGUCCCUCUCGUGUGGCGACAUGGGGCGAGAAAAAAAAGGA